rnacentral:rRNA from 1 species
UACGAAGGGGCUAGCGUUGCUCGGAAUUACUGGGCGUAAAGGGCGCGUAGGCGGCUUAGUUAGUCAGGCGUGAAAUUCCCGGGCUUAACCUGGGGCUGCAUUUGAUACGUGUUGUCUAGAGUGAGGAAGAGGGUUGUGGAAUUCCCAGUGUAGAGGUGAAAUUCGUAGAUAUUGGGAAGAACACCGGUGGCGAAGGCGGCGAGCUGGUCCAUUACUGACGCUGAGGCGCGACAGCGUGGGGAGCAAACGGG